GACGGCAGCGUCCUGGGAGAGGAAUCCUCGCUUGCUGCUUCUUCCCCGGAGGAAUCCCCGACGGGAAAAGCGCGCGAGCCGAGGAACAGCGGGAGAGCUGCGGCAGCCCAGAAACAGCCUGAGAAAAGAGGAAACAGGCAAGUUGAGUCGGAGAAAGUUCUGCCCUCUCGAGCUGCCCUUGGCUGCUCGGCCGACUUCGAGACGCUCCGCUGCGCCCGGAGAGGCCGUAAACUCACAUUUCAAGAGAACAGCCAUGCUCUCGCUUGAGACUUAUUCUCUCCUCGAGAAGAUGGGUAGCUUGUGGGGCUGAAGGGCCGAAUGAGUUGUAGGGCAUUUCGAACCCUAUUUAUUGUAAAAAACUUGCCAACUGGAAUUUCCCACGUGAUGCAAUCUGUGACUUGUGGUUUUUUACUGAUAAUUCUUAAUAUUAAUACCAAUAUUAAUUUCAGUAUUAUUGCAUGUAUAUCCCAUCUUCUUUUUUCUUACAAGGAACCCAAGGCAGUUUACUCCAUUUUAUCCUCACAACUACCCUGUGAGCUAGGUUAGGCUGAGUGACCCAAAGUCACCAAGGGGAGCUUCAUGGAUCAGUAAGGACUGGAACCCAGAUUUUCCAGGCCUGGGUUCAACACUGACCACCACACUCACUCUCCAGCACAUGCACUCCAUGUUGCCAAAGUUCUUACUCCAAAGAGGUUCAUUACUAUGGAUAGCUCAUACUGUGCUGCAAAGAAAUGCUGGAAUGGAUGAGAAGUCCCACUGACAUGGGAGUCACCAGUCUUCCUGUGUCUCCAACAGAAUUGUAUCAUGGGAAGCAAUCUGCAUAUGAGCAGGACAUUUUUUAUUAUUCAUUAUGGCAUGCUAAUGAUUGAUACUUUUUAUUGUCUUGUAUAACUUUUGACAGAAAAUGCUGGGAAAAUCUGCCAAGUCCGGCUCAGCUGCAAAUCCCACUGAGUUGGCCUUGAGCCAUGAAGCUUCUUGAGAACCCUGCUCACAUUACUCGUCCUGGGAAUGCGUUACCUCUUCUCACUCACACUUCAUAUUUAUUUAAAGUUUGAGUCAGGCUAAAGAAAAUUGAAGACACAUGACUCACUUCUUUUAUUCCGGAACAUGGCUAUCUGGUGAGUAGCCGGCACUGUCUUCCUCAGUCUGUAGUUAAUCUUAUGGGUGUAUCUUAUGGCCUCUUGACGUUGUCUGGAGGACCAUAACUGGCUGUCCAGCUGACGUUUCCAUGUCUCACUGCUGUGCUUAUGUGCAAGCGCUGCCUGUAAGUGCAUUGGAUUGCUUCCCUAAUGGCAUUUAAGGAUAUUUAAUCGCAUGAUGGGACUUUUAUGUCGGCUAUUUUUAACAGAUUUAUAAAAUUGUAAAAGUAUUUUGUUUUUCUAUUGUCAUGGAUGUUUUAAUGCUAUUUGUAUUGUGGUUGUGCAGUGUGUUUUUUGAAUAGCUGUGAACUGCCCAGAGAGCUUUGGCUACUGGUUGUGUAGAAAUGAAGUAACUAAGCCGUAUUAAGCCUUCCAUUGAUAUGAAAUAGAUAGGUAAGAAAGUGAAAUGCCAUCAGAGAUAUGAAAUGUCUUGUGAAUUUCUUAAUAAAGUUUAAGUGGGAAGAGGGGGAGAUCUGUGGCUCUGCAGGGAUUGUAGGGUUCCGACUCCCAGCAGCUUCAGCCAUUAUGGCCAAUGAUCAGUAUGGGGAGGACAACAGGGCCCCUGCCACUGCUUUGAUACCCCCUUUAUUUCUGUGGACUGGAGUCCUGGGGCCCCUGAAGAGUGACCCAGGAACACUAGGCUCUUUGGUGUACCACUCACCAACACUGUAGAUGUUUCUAUGACUUUGGCAGGAAGUCUCUAGGAACUGAUCUUUUUCCCUGCCUCUCUUCUGUCCCCCUGCAACCACUGUGAAAGAAUCCAUCUGGGAGAGGUCACCGAGAGAGCUUGGUCAUCUGCAUUGGGCUGUCAGUCUGCAUGCAUCCUGCAGAGAAUGGUCCUGUUUUGAAGACACUUUAUCUAUGAAAAGUUGCCCAGUCAAAGACCAGUUUAAAGAUAGAGGACCAUCAGAAGGGAGAGGUGAGCCUUGAAGAUGACCUUCAACAGCAGCUGGACAGCAGACAUCAAAGGUCACUUGGUCAUAAUCUUCCACACAAUGAUGACCAUCCUAUAUCCAGUUGGUGUCCUUCCAUUGACAGAAUAUUCUUUGGCCCAGUAGAGUCUUCUAUCACUGAACUGGAGCUGAAAUUAUUUUAUCCUGCCAGUGUCCCAGUUUGGCCUCCUGGAGGACUGAGGGGUCUUGGAACAGAACUGGCGGUGUUGGAUGAGGCUCCAGUGAAGAAAUGGAAUCAUCAAAAAUUACCUCCUUCCUCCUCUGAAUGGAAGUCUUCACAGGAUCGGAGAGCCUUCAACCACCAGGGGAACACCAGCUGGAUUUAGCACUGGAUUUACACAGCAAUCCUUGACUUGCUUUAUGCCAACUGAGACACUAUAGCAUUUGCUGGAAGCCCCAGUUUGCUGUUGGAAUGCAAGAUGCAUCACUGCCAUGAGAUUCACCAUCAGAACAUUUGAGAUGUGCCAGUGGAAUGGUUAAUCAGGAGAGCCAGUUGUUAUCAGGAUGAAGAGAAACUUGUGGAAUACAUGCUACCAUGAAUGAAUCCAGUUUGAGGUUCCAAAGAGAGCUUUUGCGUUCAUGAUCUAAUGAGUACAACUAUGCAAAAAUAUGCCAGAAUUUCUUUUCCAAGGAAUUUGUUUUCCAGGACUUUUGGAAGACCUUUUUUGGGUGGUUGUUCUGAGUAAUAAUGUGUUAUUUGAUCUGACAAAUCACUCCUCUGUAAAUUGCUGAAGUUAUGCCAAAGAAGUCCCACAGGUCAAUAUACUUUCUGAAAUGAAUAUAAAAAUGCUGAUUUAUGCAUGUUU